rnacentral:rRNA from 1 species
UACGUAGGGUGCAAGCGUUGUCCGGAAUUAUUGGGCGUAAAGAGCUCGUAGGCGGUUUGUCGCGUCUGCUGUGAAAACUCGGGGCUUAACCCCGGGCCUGCAGUGGGUACGGGCAGACUAGAGUGCGGUAGGGGAGACUGGAAUUCUCGGUGUAGCGGUGAAAUGCGUAGAUAUCGAGAGGAACACCUGCGGCGAAGGCGGGUUGCUGGGCUGACACUGACGCUGAACUGCGAAAGCUAGGGGAGCGAACGGG